CCUACGGGAGGCAGCAGUGGGGAAUAUUGGACAAUGGGGGCAACCCUGAUACAGCCAUGCCGCGUGUGUGAAGAAGGCCCUCGGGUUGUAAAGCACUUUCAGUGAGGAAGAACGCCUGGUGGUUAAUACCCAUCAGGAAAGACAUCACUCACAGAAGAAGCACCGGCUAACUCCGUGCCAGCAGCCGCGGUAAUACGGAGGGUGCGAGCGUUAAUCGGAAUUACUGGGCGUAAAGCGCGCGUAGGUGGCUUGAUAAGCCGGUUGUGAAAGCCCCGGGCUCAACCUGGGAACGGCAUCCGGAACUGUCAAGCUAGAGUACAGGAGAGGAAGGUAGAAUUCCCGGUGUAGCGGUGAAAUGCGUAGAGAUCGGGAGGAAUACCAGUGGCGAAGGCGGCCUUCUGGACUGACACUGACACUGAGGUGCGAAAGCGUGGGUAGCAAACAGGAUUAGAUACCCUUGUAGUA
rnacentral:rRNA from 1 species